ensembl:lncRNA
GCCCGGAGACCAAUGGUGCGUUCUCGACACCUCGGAACUUCAACCUAGCUCGGAAUUCGGGAAUCUCCAACCUCCGAAUUCAGUGCUUUCAAAACAAUUGGGAACUAAUAAAAAAAACAUUUCUGACUGGAAAAAUGAGUUUUGAACGGUCAUCCAACUUGGAAUUACUAUUCGUAAACUCGGGCGUCAUGCCGCUUUCAAAACAAUUGAGAACUCUGGCUAAAAUUAGCUCGGACUGGGAAAAAUAAUUUUGAAUUCCAAGUCGGAACUCUUUCUCCGUCGUGAUUUGACCUAGUUUUUUUCCGAGUUCCCAGUUGUCUUGAAAGCGCCAUCGUCAUUAGAACUCCGACUUCUCUGACAUGAAGGUCACUGACGUCCCGAUCCUAAGAUUUCCCCCCCCAUUCUGAGCUCGUUUUUUCCGAAUCCCCAAUUCGCUUGAAUGCACCAAAAGUUUAUAUAGCGCAAAAGACUGGCCAGCCACAUGCUUGCUCAUUCGAUUAGUCUUGUGAUCGACCUGAAGACGCCUUUCUCAAUGUCGAAGUUAUGGCUUAGAAAUGCUUCAUUGGUGUUUAACGUUAGUUAUUGGUACACUGCUGCCACUUGAGUCUUGCAAUGCUCCUGAACUGGUCAUUAACUCCAAGUAGCUAAAUUGGUGUUGUGGAGGGUUGGGCCUUGCAGAACCAUGCACGUGGGGAACUGGAGAAACGUAAAACCAUUCCGGGGUUCUAGAUUCGGGAGCCCACUCCUUCUGGACCUGGCCAGGGCGGUAUGAACUGGAGCAUACCCCAUUGACUGCACAUGGCUGGAGUGAUACCGCCCCAAUGAGUUGAUGACUAGAAGACUCACGGUAAGACUACCACACCCAUUUCACCUAGACUUUACUUUGACAUUUUAUCGUUGGUUUCUGUCUAGUCUGGUUGUGAUGAAUACUUAACUGAAAAUAGCUGGAAUUACCGUCAGAUUGUUUAGUGCUGAAAUUCGGUUUUCUGAACCUGACCUGGCAGUUACUUUAUCUACUUUAGUUUCUUCCCCACUCUUGAGCUGCUUCUGAAUAGAUGAUAGUAUUCAUAUUCUCAUAACCCUUGUGAGUUUGUUUUUAACAGGUGUUAAACCACCCCAAUGGGUUGAUGGCAAGUAGACUUAACCUGGUAAGGUGGUGUCCCUUUGAAUAACAUCCCUGCAAGUUCUCCCUGGACUGGACCUGUGGACGAUUCUCUUCCACGUGGCCGGAGUUUCCAAGACGGUCGGUCCUUUCUUCCUCUGGAAGUGAUCAACUGGAAGGAAUUGUGUUGUGUGGUAGCCCAUAUGGGACUCACCUGGGACAUGGAUACCUGAAGACCGAAGGCUCAACAUUGUUAAUAAAUAUCAUGAGCAGCAGUGGUUUCCUUUGUCUUUUCCAUGUGUGUUCUGCUUUGUUUGUGAGGUUUUGCUGAGUAAUGGUGUUUGUCUGUGACUAUAGCAAAGACGGUCAUUCUUUUUAACUUCAAUAAAUCGGUUUUAACCAAG